GCUUUUAUAUUGUGACAUUUGCACAUGUCAGAGGAAUCUCGGAUUAGCACGAGUGCAGGGUCCUACUACACAGAACCAUAGGGACCUCUCCUACUACACAGAACCAUAGGGACCUCUCCUACUACACAGAACCAUAGGGACCUCUGAAGAAUCCUGGGGAUGUUUACUUAUUAUAGACUUCUCUAAUCAAGGUUCUGUGUUUAGUAGGACCGCUUUCCAAACAUUAAGCAUUUCAUUAACAUUAUUCUAUCAAACUCCAGGCUUUCAAAUUAUCAUACAACGAACAGUUGAAUUUAAAAUAAAAAAAAUCGUCUUUG